UUUUUAUUGCAGGGGGACGCUUUAGCGUUGAGAAGGUAAAACCUGACCCUUAGAACCUGUUGGCUAAAACCAGCGUAGGAAGCGAUUUUUUAAAGAAU
rfam:Arcobacter thereius strain DT22 AAX29_contig000001, whole genome shotgun sequence.